ACAAAAAAACAAUGCUUCCAAGUUGAAAGCUGCAGUUAACCAUCUCUCAGAUCCUGGGACUGAUUUGAUUCACAGCCCCCUGUGAAGUUGUUUCACAUGAGCCUGCCUUUACUUACCUUGUUGGCUACUUACCAACACAAUCAUCUUCCACUCAGGAAGGCAGCUUCAUUUUGACUGCAGAAAUCAGCAAUUCCACUCUGUGACUGGCUGACCUGAGGUCUAAACGGGGAUUCUUUCACACUGCAAGUAAAGGAACCAAAAGCCAUGAAUAAAGGCCUUCAACACCGCAAGAAUAAAGAGAACCA